rnacentral:rRNA from 1 species
GGCAUCGAUGAAGAACGCAGCGAAAUGCGAUAAGUAAUGUGAAUUGCAGAAUUCAGUGAAUCAUCGAAUCUUUGAACGCACAUUGCGCCCGCCAGUACUCUGGCGGGCAUGCCUGUUCGAGCGUCAUUUCAACCCUCAAGCCCUGCUUGGUGUUGGGGUCCUACGGCUGCCGUAGGCCCUGAAAGCUAGUGGCGGGCUCGCUAUAACUCCGAGCGUAGUAGUAAAAUAUCUCGCUAGGGAGGUGUCGCGGGUUCCGGCCGUGAAAGCCCAUCUUUUACACAAGGUUGACCUCGGAUCAGGUAGGAAUACCCGCUGAACUUAAGCAUAUCAAUAAGCGGAGGAAAAGAAACCAACAGGGAUUGCCCCAGUAACGGCGAGUGAAGCGGCAACAGCUCAAAUUUGAAAUCUGGCUUCGGCCCGAGUUGUAAUUUGUAGAGGAUGCUUUUGGUGAGGUGCCUUCUGAGUUCCCUGGAACGGGACGCCAGAGAGGGUGAGAGCCCC